rnacentral:lncRNA from 1 species
AAAAAUAAAAUCUGGACUAGAAUAAUCCAUUUUUGAGGCCUAUUUUUUGAAUUGAGCUUGUAGCCCAUAAUCCUACAUUCCUAAAAACAGAAAGACCUAAUUUCACUUAGCUAGAGGAGCGGCUCACCCUACCCUCUCAAAAAUCCAUCCGCCAACCUAACUUCUCCAAAACUGGCACUUGCACCCCCACCCCUUUACCAUUCUACGACCAUCACUCAACCAACACUCAAUUGCUUAACUCACCCCUUCACUGAGAGCCAUUAACAACCCCUCCCUCCCUGUCGCCAGUCGCCACCAUACCCCACAAGAAAAAUAGCCACAACCCCUCAUGAUUCGAGUAACUGACAGUCGCUCACCACCAAAAGAACCAUCGGCCUCCUCUAUAAAAAUUGGGAAGAGACGCUUGAUUGAACAGGAGGUCCGUUCGAGGCUCAGUUGCCGGCCGAGGUUCAAGCCAUUAGCUCGUUUUUGGUUUAUUGCAUUGGAGACUUUCUUUCAUUGUAUUUAUUGAAGAAUACGCAGCAAUAAAGGUCAAUCUCCUUUCACUAUCCAUUAUUCCUUUUUAUCUCAUAUAUAUGUGAUGCUUUAUUUGGCUUGAUUUAGUAAAUGCUUUGAUGAUACUAUUGAUUGGUUCCUUUUGAUCUCAUAUACAGGUGAUGCUUUAUUUGGCAUGAUUUAGUAUAUACUUUGAUGUUUGACUGUUGAUUAUGUGAAUUUUAUCCUAGUAACCAUGUUGAG